rnacentral:rRNA from 1 species
UACGGAAGGGGCAAGCGUUGUUCGGAAUCAUUGGGCGUAAAGGGCGCGUAGGUGGUUCUGUAUGUCUAUCGUGAAAGCGUACAGCUCAACCGUAUUUGGUCGGUAGAAACUGCAGGACUUGAGGCUGGGAGGGGCUGGUGGAAUUCCCUGUGUAGCGGUGAAAUGCGUAGAGAUGGGGGAGAACACUCGUGGCGAAGGCGGCCAGCUAGACCAGUUCUGACACUGAGGCGCGACAGCGUGGGGAGCAAACAGG